AAACCGUGUUGUGGGCAUGAAUUGACAAAAUCUUUGAACCGCUCCCAACAUUGGAAGAAUGAUUCAUCUUCCCUUUGAACGAAGUUCAUGAUCGAUUUUCUAGGGGU